UAUAAUAUAGAAAAACAAAUUUUAAAAAAACCAAUUUCACUCUCUUACAGCUUUGAAAUCCUUGAGCCCUGCCUUACUUCGUAUUCUUCUAUCAAGGUGAUCAAACUUUAGAGAAAUUUUAGCAGGAGUUUCGCCUCUUGAUUCGGUUGCUGUAAAAGUUGCGAUUUUUUUAACCUUGGUUCAAUUCUUUAGCUAAUUGAGGGAGAACCGUGUAAGGGUAGAGGAGCAAGAUGAUGAUGAAGAAGAAGAAACAAAAGAAACAAAAGUGGAAGAAAAUGGGGAGCGAUGAACGAUGCGGUGGAGUGUGAGAGGAGUGGACGUGGGGAAGGGAGACGGGGAGAGGUGGGAACAACAAACAGCCCAACUGCAGUGUUUUUGUAUGCAGAAUCGCCAACGCGACGACAACGAACAGAAACGGCUCCCAAGGCGUGUGCAAGGAUUCGCAUGCCGGAGAAAAAUCGGUUCGAAGGCAUCUGAUAAGAAAAAGCGAGGAGCGGUCCAAUGUCGAACGAGGGCUCCAAUCCAAAGAACAGGAGAGGAGGAGGAGGAGCAGGUGGUGGGGGAGGGGGGGAUCCAGAAUGGUGCACUAAAACAACGGUCUAUUUCCUCACACAGACUAAAAACUAGUUGUUGUUUUUCUGAGCAACCAAUCAUUCAUCCCAAUUUCGCAGGACUAUUUUGUCAUCUUCGGGAAUAGUUGAAUGUCGAUCAUAAUUGGACCUGAUCCCUGAUAUGGUCAGCAGCAGGCCUUGACCCCUAAAAAGGAAAUCCCUCGCUUGUCGCCCGGAAAGCCCAGGCGUCGAUCAUAUAUCCCCGGAAAGCGCCGAAAGAGUCUGGGCUCCGGUGUGCCGAUCCCAGCCGCGUCACCUGUAUGUUGAAAUGUGUGACACGACAUCGACAUUGGCUCCGGACUGGCAAUGCAUCGCCAAGUGGGCAGUCUCGGCUACCCAUGAAAUCCACGUGGUGCGUGCACUCAAUCUCAAUCCCUCCCCCCCUGUUCUCCAGAUUUAUUUGUGCCCUCCCCAGCCAUGUUCAUCGGAUCGCACUAUGCUUCUAGAAACGGAUUAUGUGCUCCUUGCCGGACUGUUAGGCUGGCAAUUAGGUUAGUGGCAUCAGCAUCAUUAUCGUCUUAGUGUUGUUGCAACUUGGAUGAUGAUGCAGCUACUGCUCAUAAUGGGGACUCAGAUAUAAUAAACUUCGUAGUGGUAGUAGUUGUCAUAGCAGUAGGGAGGGGAGGGAAGGUCUUGCACAAACAAUUACUUACCAGCGCUCUUCGGGUGCAUUUUCUUACAUAAAUUUCCUUCGCCGAAUGCUGGUGGUGGUGGUGGCUAAUGCAAGCAUGCAUGCCUGCGUACUUGUUUGCCAGCUUCAUCUUCCGCAUACUCACUUGUCUGCACUUCGAUUUUGCGAUGCUCUUUCGACCACAGGAUUUCACUAUCUCGACCCACGAAUAAUGUAUGGGAGUAUGUAUGUAUAUAUAUAUAUAUAUACACAAAUAAAAACAAUAUAACGUUUCUUU